GCAAUGGACGCAAGUCUGACGGAGCGACGCCGCGUGUGGGAGGAAGUCCCUCGGGAUGUAAACCACUGUCAGGGGUGAGGAAUUAAUUGACCAGCCCCAGAGGAAGCACCGGCUAACUCCGUGCCAGCAGCCGCGGUAAUACGGAGGGUGCAAGCGUUGUUCGGAUUUACUGGGCUUAAAGGGUGUGUAGGCGGGUCGACAAGUGUCUGGUGAAAGCCCCGGGCUCAACCCGGGAACGGCUGGGCAUACUGACGAUCUUGAGGCAGGUAGAGGUCACUGGAACAACUGGUGGAGCGGUGAAAUGCGUAGAUAUCAGUUGGAACGCCGGAGGCGAAAGCGGGUGACUGGGCCUGUCCUGACGCUGAAACACGAAAGCGUGGGGAGCAAACGGGAUUAGAUACCCCGGUAGUCCACGCCGUAAACGAUGCGCACUGGGUAUGAUGGGUUUUGACGCCCGUCGUGCCGCAGCAAAAGUGCUAAGUGCGCCGCCUGGGGAGUACGGCCGCAAGGCUA
rnacentral:rRNA from 1 species